UGGGAGUGUUUAUAGUGUCAACACUUUGAAAAGGUCCAAGAACUGUCCGCUCUAAAACACAAGCCAAUAUGAUUCUCUUCAUCUGGGCAUUUUACUGCAUCCAAGGUUCUUUUGGGCAGGUUGUCGUGACUCAGUCUGAGGCUGAAUCAGUUCAGCUCGGUCAAACAGUCUCCAUUGACUGUAAGGCAAACACUGUAGUUUAUAGGUAUCCACAGGGCUCAGUAUCCAAAGAUUAUUAUAUCUCCUGGUAUCUUCAGAGGCCAGAUGAACCCCCUAAACUCCUUAUAUAUUUCACAACAAUGAAGCCUUCAAGUGCUCCAUCUAGAAUGAGCGGUGGAGGCAGUUUUCACUCUGGAGGAAAUGGUCUUGAUUUCAGCCUGAACAUAAACGAUGCCCAGCUUGAAGAUGCAGGAGAUUAUUACUGUAUGAGUUACCAUGAGAUCAGUAGUAAAGCAGUGUUCACACAGUGAAAAAAUCCUGUACAAAAACCU